UGGGGAAUAUUGCACAAUGGGCGCAAGCCUGAUGCAGCGACGCCGCGUGCGGGAUGGAGGCCUUCGGGUUGUAAACCGCUUUUGUUCAAGGGCAAGGCAGGCUUUCGGGCCCUGUUGAGUGGAUUGUUCGAAUAAGCACCGGCUAACUACGUGCC
rnacentral:rRNA from 1 species